GAUGAACGCUGACAGAAUGCUUAACACAUGCAAGUCUUUGGCGAAGCUGUGCUUGCACAGCCUAGCCAAGGCGGACGGGUGAGUAACGCGUAAGGAACUUGCCCUGCAGUCAGGGAUAACAGACGGAAACGACUGAUAAGACCUGGUAAAGUCAGGCGGACUCAUGUCCAGCCUGCUGAAAAGUGAUGCUGCAGGAGAGCCUUGCGUCCUAUUAGCUUGUUGGUGGGGUAACGGCCCACCAGGGCGAUGAUAGGUAGCCGGCCUGAGAGGGUGGACGGCCACAAGGGGACUGAGAUGCGGCCCUCACUCCUACGGGAGGAAGCAGUGGGGAAUAUUGGACGAUGGGGGCAACCCUGAUCCAGCAAUUCUGUGUGCACGAUGAAGGUUUUCGGAGUGUAAAGUGCUUUCAGCAGGGAAGAAAAAAAUGACGGUACCGGCAGAAGAAGCUACGGCUAACUACGUG
rnacentral:rRNA from 1 species